rnacentral:rRNA from 1 species
AGAGUUUGAUCCUGGCUCAGGAUGAACGCUAGCGACAGGCUUAACACAUGCAAGUCGAGGGGCAGCAUGAUUUGUAGCAAUACAGAUUGAUGGCGACCGGCGCACGGGUGAGUAACGCGUAUGCAACUUACCUAUCAGAGGGGGAUAGCCCGGCGAAAGUCGGAUUAAUACCCCAUAAAACAGGGGUCCCGCAUGGGAAUAUUUGUUAAAGAUUCAUCGCUGAUAGAUAGGCAUGCGUUCCAUUAGGCAGUUGGCGGGGUAACGGCCCACCAAACCGACGAUGGAUAGGGGUUCUGAGAGGAAGGUCCCCCACAUUGGUACUGAGACACGGACCAAACUCCUACGGGAGGCAGCAGUGAGGAAUAUUGGUCAAUGGCCGAGAGGCUGAACCAGCCAAGUCGCGUGAAGGAAGAAGGAUCUAUGGUUUGUAAACUUCUUUUAUAGGGGAAUAAAGUGGAGGACGUGUCCUUUUUUGUAUGUACCCUAUGAAUAAGCAUCGGCUAACUCCGUGCCAGCAGCCGCGGUAAUACGGAGGAUGCGAGCGUUAUCCGGAUUUAUUGGGUUUAAAGGGUGCGUAGGCGGCACGCCAAGUCAGCGGUGAAAUUUCCGGGCUCAACCCGGAGUGUGCCGUUGAAACUGGCGAGCUAGAGUGCACAAGAGGCAGGCGGAAUGCGUGGUGUAGCGGUGAAAUGCAUAGAUAUCACGCAGAACCCCGAUUGCGAAGGCAGCCUGCUAGGGUGAAACAGACGCUGAGGCACGAAAGCGUGGGUAUCGAACAGGAUUAGAUACCCUGGUAGUCCACGCAGUAAACGAUGAAUACUAACUGUUUGCGAUACAAUGUAAGCGGUACAGCGAAAGCGUUAAGUAUUCCACCUGGGGAGUACGCCGGCAACGGUGAAACUCAAAGGAAUUGACGGGGGCCCGCACAAGCGGAGGAACAUGUGGUUUAA